AAAGUUCAAGGGGGCCGAAUACUUUCGCAAGGCACUGUAUUUAAUCCAUUUUAGAAUAAGGCUGUAAUGUAAAACAAAUUAGGGAAAAAGUCAAGGGGUCUGAAUACUUACCGAAUGCAGUGUAUGUACACUUGUUUAGUGCAGUGAGAGUCAGAGAGAGGGUUGAGCAUCAUUUAAGAGCCCACAUUGCUAACCGGAGUUUGUAUUGUGUAGGAGAAAAGAGUCUGGGUGGAGUUUGUAUUGUGUAGGAGAAAAGAGUCUGGGUGGAGUUUGUAUUGUGUAGAAGAAAAGUGUCUGGGUGGAUGCACAAGCCCUGGAGGUUGAGCUGACAGACUGGCAGAGAGAGCAGGAACCAGACACUGACCAUGAGGCCAUUACCAUACCAGCCUGCCAACCAUCAUCACACAGAUGCUGGAGGGGAAUGUGCGGGUCUCUCUGAUCAGUGAAUCACUUUAGAAUCAGACCACACAGGUGGGGCUCUAUGAGAUGGAGAACCUCAAUAGUUUCUGGGAGAUGCCUGUUGAAUUUGGGAAGGAGCAUCGCUGGGAUCAAAGCACAAAUAACAAGUUCCACCUCUAUCUACUGGCCUCUAAGAGACUGCAUCAUCCUCAUCCUCUAUCAACCCCUGGCUGCUCUGGACCGGGUUGUGAGGAUGGCCUGGCGAUCCAACCCUUCCUAGAGGGACUCCUGUCUCGCUCCUGACUGGCCCAGGGAUACAUCACGCUCACUUUGAAGUUAUGUGGCGUCCUGGAGCGCCAUAUUGAGAUGUAUAGUUGUGUUCGCCCACCCUGCCAGCACCUUUUGACAAUCAUAUUAGUCUGUAGCUGACUUGUACCAGUGUCCUGAGUAGCGUUUGCAGCCAGUGGCUGAUGGUGGUGGAGUAUGUGAGGGUGUUGAUACAGAAGAGGCUGGUGUGUUGUAAUGCAGAGGAGCGACGUGAGCUGGCCCAGAGAAUGGCACUGGAUGCCCAGUACCUGAGGGAUCUCUUCCAGGGCCUGGUUGUGAGGAUACACUUGAGUUUAGAUCCACACCAUACCCAACAUACACCUCAAACCACACCCUCGUUUUAAUUCACUGCACCAUUUUAUGUACAGUUUCCAUUUUCACGUAAAUACAAACACACUGUAUACUAGCAGUCAAAAGUUUAGACACCAACUAAUUCAAGGAUUUUUCUUUAUUUUUACUAUUUUAUACAUUGUCUUCACUAUUAUUCUACAAUCUAUGAAAUAACACAUGGAAUCAUGUAGUAACCAGAAGUGUUAAUCAAAUCAAAAUAUAUUUGAUAUUUGAUAUUCUUCAAACAGCAACCCUUUGCCUUGAUGACAGUUUUGCACACUCUUGGCAUCCAUCUUCUCUGACACCCUGGUGCCUAUUCCUAGCUUGCCAUUCUGUCUGCCUACUGCCAUCUGUGCCUGACUACCAAUUUGCACCUUUUAAAUUCACUAAUCACACACACAAGCUUGCGGUUUAUAAGUUAUAUAAACUUGAAAUGAACAGUAAUACAAUUAAAAUGUGUGAAAUUCAUGACUUCUUUAUUGGAAUAAUAUGUUGAUGAAUCUGAUAACUUUUAAGUGUUUGAUCACUGCCAGAAAGAAAUACAGGUAACAAAAU